AUUGAACGCUGGCGGCAUGCUUUACACAUGCAAGUCGAACGGACUUAGGGGCUUGCUCCUGAGUUAGUGGCGAACGGGUGAGUAAUGCAUCGGAACGUACCGUGUAGUGGGGGAUAACGCAGCGAAAGUUGUGCUAAUACCGCAUACGAUCUACGGAUGAAAGCAGGGGAUCGCAAGACCUUGUGCUAUACGAGCGGCCGAUGUCGGAUUAGCUAGUUGGUGAGGUAAAGGCUCACCAAGGCGACGAUCCGUAGCGGGUCUGAGAGGAUGAUCCGCCACACUGGGACUGAGACACGGCCCAGACUCCUACGGGAGGCAGCAGUGGGGAAUUUUGGACAAUGGGCGCAAGCCUGAUCCAGCCAUGCCGCGUGAGUGAAGAAGGCCUCGGUUGUAAGACUCUUUGUCUAGGAGCAAUACCUAACGGCUAACUAUACGUUGGGAGUGAGAGUACCU
rnacentral:rRNA from 1 species